ensembl:lncRNA
CCCCCAAACCUCCCACCACCGCGGGGGGCGUGGCCUAACAAAGGGGCGUGGCUUAAAGUUGGCCGGAAGGCGGGACCCAACCGCUCGGCGGGGGCGUGGCCUACCGCAAGGGCGUGGCCUAACCCGCGGAGAGGGCGUGGCUUAGCGCAGGUGAGGGGCGUGGUCUAACUCAGGGUGGGGUGUGGCCUAACCGGAACGUGCCCUGCAUUACCCGGAAGGGGCGGGGCCUAACCCCUCCCGCUGGCGGAGGCGUGGCCUGCGCGCCUGGCGGACUACAGCUCCCGGCAUGCCCCGCGCGCCGCCCGGCUUCCGUCGGGGCCGGCCCUGGGGAGCGGCGGAGCUCAGCCGGCGGCCGCGGGCAGCAGGAAUUGCUCAGAACAUCAGUGGUUGGGAGGAAUGGAGGAGAGCACUGGUGCUGCUAAGCUCGGGACUCCGGGGUUGCUCCGGGCACUGGGGCUGGAGAUGAGGUAAGGCAGAGCUGCGUGCAGGAGCUGAAGCCCGUGCCCUUUGCUCCUGCAGAGCCUGGUGCUUUUUGAUGCUGUCCUUAACCUGGUUGUAUAUUAACUGCCCUCCCAAUGCUGCAUGGCUGGCUUUUGUUUUAACCACGUUGGCGCGUGUUCAGAGCUGGUGUGCUUCGAAUGGCCACUGGGACUGCACAGUCAAGCAGAAAUCCUUUUUAGCUGUCAGGCUUCGCUGGCCACAGUGGGUGGGGGAGCUCCUGUUGGCUGGAUGCCCUGGCUAAUUAAAAAUGAAGCGUGCUGUUGUCUUCAGACUUCAAUUCGUGUUUGCCCCCCCCCCAGGGCUGGUGGAAGCGUGGUCUCCAUGCGGCUGCAGGGAGGCUUCAAAGCUUGUUGGUGUACAUUCUAGAGCAGGUAUGCAGCUUCAAAUUGGCUCUCGACUCUACCCUGGGUUAUUUUUCCAAGUACAGAGAAGAGCAUGCAGGAACUUUUGGGCUGUGGCCCUGAGUGAGUGUCUGUAGGUGGCUACAGCUGGUCCGUGGUGAUGCGGACGUGCGUGUGUUGCAGCCACAGCAGCAUGGGAUGGCUGCUGUUCUCUGGGGUGAAUGGACCGAGUAAAGUUGGGUUAUUUAACAGCAGGCUGUGCUGUGUGAUGGCACUGUGAGCUGGCAGUGAUUCGGGGUCUGUGUGAAGUCAGGGCCCAGCCCUGAGCUGUGCUGUUGGUGUGAGGGUGGAGGUGGUGGGAGCAACACCUAAAUGUACACACGGUGCAGGGCUGAGCUUCCCUUCAUCCCAAGGUCCCACCUGCACAGCUGUCUGCUGAAGGGAAAUGGCACUGCAGCAUCUCACCCCGUUCACAUCUUCCUGUCGCUGCAGGGAGCUGCAGCAUCACGUUCUGCUUUCAGGGUGUUUGCACUGUGUUUGCUGCCCUCUCCCAGGGGCUGCUCCCCUCUCAGGGCGGCACAAACUGUAUUUCAGCCCUUUCCUUCGUGGAAGUGAUGCAGUGGUGCUGCAGUGCCCUAAUGAGGACAGAGGCCAAGAGCUCCAGAACAAGCAGCUUGCUGGUCCAGCACGCUCCGAGCCUUCCUCCAAGGAAGGCUUUGCUCUCCUUCAACCUUCAGUGCUCCGUUGAGGAGUUCUGCUGGUGGCACUGGGAUGACCCUUUGGGCAACUGCUGAGAGGGCUGGGAAAUGUGAGCAGCCUCUUGCACACGCUGUUCUAGAAUAACACUUGGAGUUUAUGGAUUCUUGAAGAAUAUUCUGCAGUUAUUUCUUUAUUCACGACCAGCUUUCAUCCCUUUCGCCUCCUGCUGUGCUACUUUUUUUUGCCAGUUCUUUUCCAACUAAAAAUAGGAAAUACUCCUCGAGUUCCUAAGCUCUGUGCAGACAAAGCAGCAGUUUGUUUCAGCAUCUGUGCAGGCUGCUGGGCUGCGUGCCUCGUAAGGAAACCAGCGUGAUAUGGAUCUGCUGCUUUUGGACACUGGGACUCCAAAUGGAGGCUGAGGAGAGGAAGGGGCUGGGAAUGGAAGUGCUGCUGUGCCAUCAGCAUUGCUCCUUGCUCCCAGCAGGAUGUGUGGCUGAACAAGUGAUGCCAGCAGAUGCUCCAGAGUUUGGGAAAUGAGUGCGUGAUCAUUGCAUGUGCAGAUGGAUUUGCAGGUCACCCCUGAUUCAAAGCACAGCCACCCUCCUCCUUUGGGUAAUGCCCUGCGGGGAAGGUUUGUCCUCCAGGAAGGCACGAGCCACAGUUCCCUCAUGAGAUGCAAUAUAUUAUGUAUACAGCAGUAUAACUGUUUUGUACAAUACAGUAGAGGAGCCAAAGUGGCCAAAGUGCCUGAGAUUAAACGUUUAAUUACAGCUGAAGUGUGCUGUGCUGCGAGAGAGGCCAAACCCGGCCGUGCCUGAGACGCCUUUACCGCAGGGCUGUGCUGAUCUCAUUUGGGACCAUUUGACUUUUAAACGAGGUGCAGCACAGAACACUGGCUAACCUGCCUGAAAGCACUGCUGUAAGUAGGUGAGUGCGCCUGGCAGGUUAGCAAAGCCCUUUGGGACACAAUCCUGAUGCUCUUUUGUUCUUCAGCCUGCAGUUCCCAGGGUGCGUGGGGCGGUUAAUGGGAUGCCUGCACUGCACUGCUCUGCAGGUGACCUUGGCACUGCAGCACCCCGUUCCGGGCUGUUGUAAAGCCGUGGGGUGCUCAGUUUGUGCAGCUUUCUCUGCCCGGAGGAGAGCAGAGCUCGUCGUGCUCUGGUGGCUGCAUUGUGGGUGUGUGGGAAUGGGAUACCUGGCACAAUGGGCUGGCAGGAGCCGGGUAGGGGCGGAGGCUGGCGCUGAGUGAGAGGUGUUGCACCUGCUGCAGUGCUCAGAUUGAGCUGAACAGUUUCCUUGUAUUGAGAGAUAAGGCCGUGUAGGACGUGUAAUCAAUCCGGGCCGACUCGCUGGGUAAGUAGGGCGCUGCUGGAGGGCCUCUCAGCUCAGCCCUGACGCUCACAUCGCCCUCUGCAGUGUUGUCUUCUGUCAUUUGCCACCUGAUUUCAGUAGUGGAUCUCAGUGAGGCUGGGAGAGGAGCCUGUCUGGAAGCAGAGGUAUGAGGGCUUGGUUUAAACGGAGCCAUCGCUGUUAGCGUUUUUUGGGUCACACAGCAGCAAUGCAAUGAAUGGCAAGCGCAGCCCUUGGGGUGGGAUGCUGUCACCGAUGCUGUUGCCCUCACAGAUGGGGUUAGCUGAACAGAGCUGCUCUUGGCACAGUGCUGGGAAGGAGCCUGGCUCUGUUUUCAUGCAGGUGUGGGGCUGAGCCAUCCGUGACGGGCAGAUGAUAACCACAGGUUAACGCGUGUGAGGAGAGCUUGGGAAAAGCAGCCCUCCAGCCUGGCUGUCCUUGCUGGCUUUUUAAAGGACUUGCCAGCUGGGUUACGGGGAUGUUUCGUUCCUCUGUGCGUUACAAGUGAUGAGUGCCGGAGCUCCGUUCUGCCUCCUGCAGAUGGCACCGCGCGGUGCCUCCCGGCUGAGCGCUGCAGUGCUGCGGCGCGGCCGCCAGGGGGCGAUGGUGAGUCGGCCGGCGGAGCUCCGGGUGGUAUUUGGGGGAAUAAUGGGGGAAAUAACGGGGGGAAAUGGGGCUGCGAGGAGCUGGGGGGGUCGGAGAUAAUAAAGGGAGGCUUUGGGGGAUGCAGCGUGUGCCUUCUUGUGAGGAGCACAGCGGCUGGCUCUGUCUGAGCGCUGCGCGUUGCAGGCGUUAAGUUGCAUUUCGCUUUGGGGAGGGAUGGAAAAUCGCUCCAAGUAGUUAACUGAAGAUGCCGAUAUUAAUGAAAGGCUUUCAAAGCUGGGGCUGUUUGGGGGGGCGGGAGGGGUGAGAAUCCCCUGUUGAGUUGAUGGCAGCGGGGCCUAAGGAGUGAUGCUGCAAUUAUUAGGCUGAAAUGAUGUUGAACACGAAGCUAAUCCCGUUAUCUUGCAAAUAUGGAGGAAACUGCUUGCUCCGGAUAGCUCUGUAAUGGGAUUAUUGCAGUGAGUGGCACCCCUGACAUUCCCUGUCUGCUCGGGGUGAAGCAUUGAUCAGCACUGAUCAACCUUCCCAUGGGUGCUUUGCUGGGAGGGGGGCGCUGCUUUUCAGUGGUGCUGCAGUAUUUCUUAUGGAGGAAAGAGCAGCUUUGAUGCUGAGCAUCCCCUCCCCUUGAGAAGCCAUUCCCUCCUCCGCAGCAGAGAUCCCUCCCUAAGGAAGAGACCUGAAGGACAAGGAUGAAACGAGGCAUCCCUCCAUCGUGCCUUCCUGGCACUGAGUCCCCAACCCAUCGGGUCACAGUGUGAGAAGGACGCACUGCACUGAGUCCUGAGGAGCCCCGAGGAUGCUCUGAGGAUGGGAGCCCUCUGCUACGAGGAAGGGCUGCAGGAGCUGGGGGUGUUCUGAGCACCAAUUGCUGUUGGGUCUUCAGAAGGAUUGUCCUGGGGGUCCCUAAGCCAUCUGUGUGCUACACUGCUGUGUCAGCAGUGCAGGAGAGCACAAGAGCCAAGGUGAUCCGGCAGCGAGGAGAGGAAGGCCCUAAUGAGUAAGCCUGCCUGGCUUGGCUGUGAGCUUGCUAGCUCACAUACCUGGAAUAGCAGCACGCUGUAACUCUUAGGCUGCACGAGUUGAGAAGGUGAGCAAAUAUUUGCAGAGCUCGCCCUCGCAGGGCUCAUGGCUCAAGCUGCAGAUGGAGCUGGCUGUACCAAAGGCGGUCCCAUUGCCACAGGGUUUGCCACAGCCCUGUUUGCGUUUAUCCAUGUGUCCCACCAGCAUUGCAGCUGUGCAGAGCAGGGGUGCUGUUUGCUGGUCUCAGAUUGGGAUUUUUGGCUGCUGUUUUGGGAUCGUGCCCCUUGUUGCCAGGCAGGGUGGCUGUGAUGGUCCCCCCAAACAGCAUCAGGGUGGAGGAAUUGGUGUGGGAGCAGUGUGAGGGGUCCUGCUUGCAGUGGGGCAACAAACUCAAGGAGAGAGCUUGCUGCAAGGUGAUGACGAGCCGUGCCUCCCAGGCUGUUGGUAUUAUCUAAUUCUGGGCUGUUUCCUUUAAUUAUAUGAAACGUCCUUGACACUGUAAACAAUUGCCAUGGCAUUGUCUCUGCAGCACCGUGAGUCAAAGAUGACGCAUGACCAGCGUUGGGUUUGGGGACCAGAGCUGGGCUGCGUGUGCCACACUCACAGCUGCUCCAUGCUGCCAGCCCUGCCUUGUGCUGGCACAAAGCAGAGGCUGUGGGGCUGUGCUGCUGGGGGCACACAGAGCUCCCAUCCAGCUUCACCUCUGGGGCAUUUCACUGCCCUUUCCAAAGCAAGCAGGUUCAAAAGGGACGAGGAAGGGAUGAUCUGCAGCCCCAAAGCACGCUGCAGUCUGCUGGCACAAAAGCAUUUGCUCGGCACGUUUCAGACUUCAGCCUUGCUGCUGUGUGCUGACAUCUCGGGUGCUGCACGAGAGCAAUGUGUGGGGCUGGGGUUGGGGGUUUCGCUGUCCUGCUGGGUGCUGGCAGGGUGGGACUGCUGUGGAUGUGCAGCC